rnacentral:rRNA from 1 species
CACGUAGGGCGCAAGCGUUGUCCGGAAUUAUUGGGCGUAAAGAGCUCGUAGGUGGUUUGUUACGUCUGCUGUGAAAUCCUAGGGCUUAACCCUGGGCUUGCAGUGGAUACGGGCAGACUAGAGGUAGGUAGGGGAGACUGGAAUUCCUGGUGUAGCGGUGAAAUGCGCAGAUAUCAGGAGGAACACCGAUGGCGAAGGCAGGUCUCUGGGCCACUACUGACGCUGAGAAGCGAAAGCAUGGGGAGCAAACAGG